rnacentral:rRNA from 1 species
GUGAACGCUGGCGGUAGGCCUAACACAUGCAAGUCGAACGGCAGCACAGUAAGAGCUUGCUCUUACGGGUGGCGAGUGGCGGACGGGUGAGGAAUACAUCGGAAUCUACUUUUUCGUGGGGGAUAACGUAGGGAAACUUACGCUAAUACCGCAUACGACCUACGGGUGAAAGCAGGGGAUCUUCGGACCUUGCGCGAUUGAAUGAGCCGAUGUCGGAUUAGCUAGUUGGCGGGGUAAAGGCCCACCAAGGCGACGAUCCGUAGCUGGUCUGAGAGGAUGAUCAGCCACACUGGAACUGAGACACGGUCCAGACUCCUACGGGAGGCAGCAGUGGGGAAUAUUGGACAAUGGGCGCAAGCCUGAUCCAGCCAUACCGCGUGGGUGAAGAAGGCCUUCGGGUUGUAAAGCCCUUUUGUUGGGGAAAGAAAAGCAGCAGGUUAAUACCCCGCUGUUCUGACGGUACCCAAAGAAUAAGCACCGGCUAACUUCGUG